AUUAGCAUGCUAGUUGUGCGGGUUUAGACCCGCAGCGGAAAGCUCAGUAACACGUGGCCAAGCUACCCUGUGGACGGGAAUACUCUCGGGAAACUGAGGCUAAUCCCCGAUAACGCUUUGCUCCUGGAAGGGGCAAAGCCGGAAACGCUCCGGCGCCACAGGAUGCGGCUGCGGUCGAUUAGGUAGACGGUGGGGUAACGGCCCACCGUGCCCAUAAUCGGUACGGGUUGUGAGAGCAAGAGCCCGGAGACGGAAUCUGAGACAAGAUUCCGGGCCCUACGGGGCGCAGCAGGCGCGAAACCUUUACACUGUACGAAAGUGCGAUAAGGGGACUCCGAGUGUGAAGGCAUAGAGCCUUCACUUUUGUACACCGUAAGGUGGUGCACGAAUAAGGACUGGGCAAGAC
rnacentral:rRNA from 1 species